GAUGAACGCUGGCGGCGUGCCUAAUACAUGCAAGUCGAGCGAACGGACGAGAAGCUUGCUUCUCUGAUGUUAGCGGCGGACGGGUGAGUAACACGUGGAUAACCUACUUAUAAGACUGGGAUAACUUCGGGAAACCGGAGCUAAUACCGGAUGAUAUUUUGAACCGCAUGGGUCAAAAGUGAAAGACGGUCUUGCUGUCACUUAUAGAUGGAUCCGCGCUGCAUUAGCUAGUUGGUAAGGUAACGGCUUACCAAGGCAACGAUGCAUAGCCGACCUGAGAGCGGGAUCGCCCACACUGGAGCUGAGACGCGGUCCAGACUCCUACGGGAGGCAGCAGUAGGGAAUCUUCCGCAAUGGGCGAAAGCCUGACGGAGCAACGCCACGUGAGUGAUGAAGGUCUUCGGAUCGUGAAACUCUGUUAUUAGGGAAGAACAUAUGUGUAAGUAACUGUGCACAUCUUGACGGUACCUAAUCAGAAAGCCACGGCUAACUACGUG
rnacentral:rRNA from 1 species